ACACAUGCACAUGCACGCACACGCUGCACGCUGAGCGCUGUCAUUACUCUACCUUUUUUGGAACUGUUUUGGUUCUUCUUGGUGGUGCUGCUGUCCGCCUUCUUAACAUUAGCACUCUUCACAGAUUUUUUACUUUUAGUGGUAGCUUUCUGUUUUGCUUUUUCUUUUUUAGAUGUCUUUUUUGGUGGUUGCUAGAAAGGAAAGGAAAGCAGUAUGAGUCACUAUUAUUCCUCCCCUCCUUUCUCACAGACAGCCUAGCUAUCUCAGCGUAAGCAUUACUAAUUAUCAACUGCUGAGAGGAACCCUAAUGCUAUUUCAAUGUAAGUCUAAGCAUAUGUUACCUAUAUUAUUCCAUUUAGUUGAGGGUGAAAGAUAACCCAAAGUAUAAAUACUAUUUACUAUUUCCUCCAGUCUUCCCCAGCUAGAAUCUAAGCUACAGGAAAACAAACUUUUAUUCCUUGUGAUCACUGUU
rnacentral:lncRNA from 1 species